GUCUCACCCUCUCCAGCCGCCACCAAUCUCUUCAGCCAUUGCCAAUCUCGCCCGAGGCCAUUGUUGCCCAGCCUUCGCCGAUCUCACCCAUUAUUGCUUCAGAUCCCCUACCUUCAGACCUCCCCCACCUUUAGACCUUCCUCACCUUUGGACCUCCUACUUUCUAACACUUUCAUUCUCUGUUUAUGCAUAAAGUCUGAAACUUUGUGUUGUGUUUAGGAGAGGGUGAGUGGCAAGAGCAAGAAAUGGAGGCUAUGGAGGAGUUCUUCAGGGGAUUUGGGGUCCUCAUGGAAACGUUUCAAAGGAAACCACAGAGCAGCUUCUGAAGGGUCUGAUUCUCCAGUGGCUGAUGCUUUUACAGCUGCAAUGGCCACAGUGGUUCGUGCUCAUCCGAAGGAUUUCAGGGCUAUAAGAAAAGAAUGGUUGGCUAUCCAGAUCCAAAUUGCUUUCCGUGGCUUCUUGGCAAACACAUUGGUUUUUGUUCUAUCCCACUUGAGAUGUGUCCGUCAAACUAUGGUUAUUAGGAAGCUUGGAUUUGAAAGUAGUAGAGGCUGAGAAGGUAGUACAAUUUGCCAAACAACAUGGCGUCCUUCUCAAGUUCGUUCUCACCACACACCAUCACUAGAUAUUAAGAGGAGGUUAGGAACCAACUAAGGAGGCAAGUUGGUAUUUACUAGGUAGAGCACCUGAAAUUGGCACUGAGUAUAGGCACAUACCCAGGUUGGAAUCGAAUAUUUUUUGACAACAAGAGAUUUUAUCAAUAGAAAUAACUUAAUUGGCAGAUGGCUGGACCAAAAUGGGAGGAUUUGCAAACGGACUGUUUGGUGAAUAUUCUUACAAUAGUGGGCACGGAGUCCUUGCUAUAUGACAUUCCAUUUGUGUGCAAGUCAUGGUAUAAAGAAAAUUCUACAGGGCUGCAAGAAGCUUGUGCAUUUGGAUGUUAGGGAUUCUUUAUCGUUUGAAUGUGAUGACCAGUUACUGGACCUUGCUUCACAUAUUACUAAUUUCCAGCACGUGGGUUCAGAGCCGUCUUUCGUUUAUUACAAUUGGUACACGCAAAGGAAUCUCUUGAACGAGAUGAUAGAGAGGCUCUGCUUUCAUCUCUAUUCUAAUAAGUAGAUUAGUCUGAUUAACAGGAAAAAAAAAAAAAAAAAAACGCCAGCUUUCAAAUGAUUGUUGAGCCAGAAGCACCAUACUUUCAAAGGCUUGCUUUA